rnacentral:lncRNA from 1 species
AGAUGGACCACGGAGGAUGCCCACUCUGUGAAUAACCACUGCACUCCAGCCUGGGCAACACAGCAAGACCCCAUCUCUAAAACAAGAAAAGAAAUGGAGGCUCGGAGUGACUAAGUCACUUAACUGUCCCAGGUUGGGCUCCUCAGCAAGGAGACUCCAGGGUUAGUAUGCAGUGUGUUCCUCAGGGGGUGCCCUUGAGAUGAUACCCUUGGAAGAGAGGGGAGCAGGAGCAGGCAGACAAAGAAGUGGAGCUCUGGUGCAACCACUGCCAGCCUCAGCCAGCACGCGGGAAGCUCUGGAGCCUGAAUGGCACUUUGUGGUUUUCUCGAAGUGGGCCGGGGUGGCCAGGCCUUUAUAUGCCCUCUCGAUCAGUCACUGGACAUGGGACAGCCCUGAAGGGUGUGGCCUUGGGCAAGGUGGCUCUGCAGCUGAGGCAAACCCUGGGGGGUGCUGGCAGCUGGAGGUAGUCUGUGACCACACUCCCAGCAGUUGGGGUAACAAGUCUGUCACUGGCAUGAGAAUUGAACAUGUCUGGAAUGGUAAGAAGGUCCCACUUUGAGUGGUAGGGUGGGAUGGGGAGAGAAGCCUCUCUGAUCCCAGAUCCUCCUAAUUACCCACCUUUUCAUACUGCCUCCCACAACCCUCUAAAUUGAAUGCUGAAUGUUCGCCUCUCAAAAGGUGCUUUUCUUCUAUUUGCUUGGCCUACACAGAGGUCCCCUCCUCCCAGGUAGCUGAGACUCUUGGCUACAUUCAUGAUUCUUGCCUAAAGGAGAUGGCCUGUGCCCCUCCGUGGAAGAACAGUGGCCUCAGCAGUGACAACAUUCUGAGUCCUUGGCCUGGGGUAAAAUCAAAUCUGUGUGUCCCUCGUAACAUGCUCAGUGGUGACGACCACCCCAAGACCAAGCACA